GGCAACUUGGCCGAGUGGUCUAAGGCGCUGGAAUUAGGUAGUUCUACCCAUCCAGUCCGAAAGGGCGUGAGUUCGAACCUCACAGUUGUCA